GACAACUGGGCCGACCAGAACUUCCCUCCAAUAUUUAUUGAAAGUAUAGAUUAUAUGGUGAGACUGGUGGCAUCUUAAGGCAUGUGACCACUGAUUGCAUGGUGCCCAACAGCCAGCCGGUGGUGUUCGAGUUUAAUGGCUGAGCAUCUUCAUGGACUUUCGAUUCGGGAGAGUAUUAUUUUGACUUGUAAUACUCAGUUAUACGUUUUGUACGGUGCAUGAAGAAAUUUGUGAGGCAUCAAGUUGCCACUUUAUCCGUCUGUCUUGCUUUUCCUGUCUGGGCUACACAUGUAUUUCCAAAUUAGUUUGAAUUGUGUAAUUGUCAUUUUAAAGUUACAGGUGAUGCACACACAUUUAUUGACAGCAUUUACUGCCUAGAAUAGCCCUCUGGUUAUCUUGGAAUGCCCCCCCCCCCAUUCCCUAAGGUCCCAGUUUACUUAUUAUGUGAAUAAUAAAGAAAAAAAAUAAUGAAAUACGCUCAAAAGGCACUAUUUCGGACUAGAAGUUGUGACUUUUUUUUGGGGGGGAGGGGAUAUAAACCCCAUAGUCCCUGCCAGCAUUUGGCGAGAUUUAAAUUUUGGUUCUGAGGGAGGAGCAAAUGUCAUAAAUUUGUGCCCUUAAGUUACACCCCCUCUUAUUUCAAUUCCUGGACCUGUCCCUGGUCUGCCAGACCAUUUUUAAAGAAGUCUUGUUAGUAAUUAUCUCACAUCAUCGAAACACAUGUUUUGGUCAAACAUUCUCCAGAGUUACUUAUUUUUGAUGUGUUUUUCUUCUUUUUUCAUAAUUCGGGGAACAUGACUGCCUAAUAAGCUUCAAGAGUUAUGGCCUUUGGUUUCCAUAAAUAUGUUUUUUCAUGAAAGAUAUGGUUAUUAUACCUGUAAAUGGAGUGAAGCGACUAAAUCAGGGAUAAGGAUAGAUACACAUCUAGAGUUAGGAAAAGUAAUAGCUUUUUAUGUAUAAAGAUAAAUGUUCAAAGGUGUCAGUUCACAACGAAAUGCUUCCGGGUCGUUGAAUCCCUUCAAGUAGUUCUUAAAACAAUGCUUCUCCCAUCUUAGGUAGCAUUUGAUAAUGUGUUGAACAGUUCAAUAUUGCAGGUGAGGCAGCAGACUCAUGGCCAGCAGUUUAAAGAAAUCCAACUUGAAUAGUUCAGGGCAGAAGAAAAUAAAUCCAUUAAACAGCUUGAUGACCAUCCCAAACAAGCCUCUGAAACUGUGCUCAAGACAGCUGAUGAAAUUGACAAGACUUGUGACGAAGGUACUACAACAAUCCCUAACAGUUCCGGAACACCGAUCCAGAGUGAGACAGCUGCUGUUAAAGCCCUCAUAAUACUGUCAAAGCUAUCCACCGGGUUGGCAGAUGGGGCCCAGCCCAAAUCCUGAGACUGAAAAGACAGAGGGUGUAGGAAGCUUCUUUGGGUGACCCUCUACAAAAAUACAACAAGAGGUCACGAUUGAUCAACAACAACAACAACAACUGUCUAUGACCAACUACAUGUCAACUUCCCAAUAAAAGUAUAUAAGCAGUGUUUUUCUUCACAUAUCUCAGGAACCCUACCACCAGCCAAAAGAGACUUAUGGAAUUUGGAGAAAGAAGGCAGAGGACCUGUUGAGUUGGAAGAAAAGGCUGGAUAGCGAGGAGAACAGGUCAUUCAAGCUGGAGAAAAGGGCUUUUUAAGGACAGAUGAGCCUCGUGACAUCACUACGACCAACAGCUACAGUAACGGGACGUUUAAAGACACUCGCUCACAGUCACAACCAUCCACACCAAAAUCUCUAGCAGGAACAAAAGAAAGAUAAAAACAUAUUUUCUAUCAACUUGGCUCUACAACUUGCUUUUACUGAAUUUUCUUUGCAGUCAUCUCCCUUGAUGAAAAAGAAGACCUAUGUCACAACAAAGGGAAAGUACUGAGUGUUAUUGCCAUUUUCUCUGUCUGUCUGGCCGUCCGGCUGGCCGUCCGUCUUUUCGUCCAUCUGUCACACCCUUGUAGAGGCAUAACUUCAAAAAAAAACAACCUUGUCUACAGAUAGAUAGCAAUGAGAGGAAGUCAGUGCAAAUGAACCAUAAUCUUGCUGUGCAUAUUGAUUAAGUUAUUCCCCCUUUUUCAUAAUUGAUGCCUGCACACUCUUUGUUCUGAGAAUAAUAUCAAGACAACUGAUGGGAUUGAAAUAAAACUUGGCAUAUAUCUAUAUAGAUGGCAUUGAUAAGGGAGUGCAGUGCACAAGAAUCAUAAUCAAAUCAUGCAUCUUUAUAAAGUUAUUUCCCCUUGACCAUUUAAAAUAUAGAUAGAUGGCAAUGAGUGGAAGUGUGGUGCAUCAGAACCAUAAUCUUGUCCUGCAUAUGAUUUUUAGUUAUAUUCCUUUAAUUACCUCCCCAUAACCAUAUUGUUCAAUAAAGGGGUUGAAAUGAAACUUAAAAUGUAGAUAGAUGGAAAUUAAAUGAAGUGUAGUAUCCAAGAAUUAUAAUCCUAUACUUCAUAUAUGGGUGCUUGUCCAGGUCAUAUUUUGGAAUGUAUUGGAGGGAUUCAAAUGAAGAAACUUGGUAUAGAAAUAAAUGACAAUGACAGCAGGUGUAGUACCAAGAAAAAUGAUUCUGCCCUGUAUAUUUAUUUAGUUAUCUCCCCUAGGCCUGAUAUUUUUCCAUAACAGACGUUGUUCAGGCCAUUUCUUGAAAUGUUCUAUAGUGGUACAAAUGAAACUUGGUAUAAAGAUAGAUGGCCUAUGGCAUUAUAAAAUGUUGCACAUAUCUUUCCAUGUUAAGAUUUUUUCCAACCUCUGUAUAAUAAUAAUACAACCAUUCACCUUCUUCCAGCACAUUGUAUUACAAGUUCUGCCUUUUCAUUGAAAAUGGGCAUAUGGGGAGCAUCCAUUGCUUUCUGCGAUACUCUGUUGAAAUAUUGUUUACCAAAGAACUGGGUUUUUUUCACUUUGUGAUGAUGUUAUAUCAUUAUUAUUCAUAUUUUACAAUAAAGUAGUAUAUAAAAGGUGAGCGAGUCCCUUGAAAUGUAUGUUAGUCCAACUUCUGUUGGUAAAAUUUAAUUAUAUUAACCAUUAAAAUAUGAUGUCAGGAAAAUAUUUACACUUGUACUAGAUAUUAUUUUACCAAUCACAAAUAGAAAAAUAAAAUGUAGCAAAUUCUUUUUGUAAUCUGAUAUAAAAAAUAUAAAAUGUUUUAUCUAAUUUUCAGAUUUGAUGUGCCCUCCUUGGUAUUGACCAUUUCCCACCUGCUAUGAGCAUCAACCACAAACAGUGAUGUGCCCUCCAUGGAAUUGACCACCUGCUAUGAGCAUCAACUACAUGUUCAAGCAGUGUCAUUUGUUUAUUUAGACAAUGUAUCUUGAUUGUUAUGUUGAAUAAAUUGAAGCAGUCUCCCAGCAAAAGGCUGGGAGAUAUGGUGCUGGAUGAGCCAUACCAUACAUUGUAUGACAGGCCAUCGAAUCUGUAUACGUAGUUAGGUGGAAUAGCUGGUCUUUAGAAACGUACUCAACUGUGCCCAGGAUGACCUCUUCUGUCGUCCCUCAUAUACCCAUAGAGGCAACCAUUUUAGAUCAAUUCUUUCACAAAUUGGUUAGAAUGGAUGCUUGAUAUAAUGUGGGCUUAAAAACUAGGUUGCAUGGUCAAUUUUCAUAACUUUGUGAGAUUAUCGGAAUGUAUGCAUUAAUUAAAUGUUUAUUAAGUUCCAAUGAGUCACUAGAACAAAAUCUAUAGUCGUAUCUACGCAAUAGUGGUCACAAUGUGUGGAAGUGGUCCAGCUAGGCCUAUAUAGGACAUGCAUUAUUAAUAUUAUUUUCUAGCAGACCUUAAAUUACUUUAUUGUGAAAAAAAUGACGCAUUUUUGUACAUUGCACCAAAAAAAGUGCGUGCGAUGAUGUUUACUGACGUCGUGACGCGCAGUAAUUUUUAUUCACUGCAAACGUCAAGAAGGUCCUUCAAUAUAACGUCUUUUACAGGUUAUUUUGAUUUGUUCUGUAAUAAAAUAUAAAAACAUAAUUGAGUCACGGCGCGUGUCUCAUCUACCUUGCGGGUGCUAUAGUAUUCCAGCACGGCUGAAUUCACCGGAAAUGCCUAUCCGGUGUGCUAGAAUUGUGGUCUUCUCUUUCUGAAAGACGCCUUAUUGCUGAUUAAAAAAACUUUUUUACGUCUUUUAAGAACAAAAAUUGGUCUACUAAACAAUUCAAUUAAAUAAUUUCCUUUAAAACAUUUAUUCCCAACAUAUUUAGAAUUGGCAUCACUCAAAUUUAAUAACCUGUUUUGAUUAUUCAUAAAUAUAUCCACUACGAAUUGAUGAAUGUUUUACAUUUAAAAUCGAUUUAAAUGUGUAGUAAUGUAUACAUACAUCAAUAUUUAAAAUAAACUAUUGAGAUGUGUUUUCUUUGGACAGGCCUGCUUCUUUAAAGAUGAAACGUCGGUGAAUUGCUGAAACACACCAACGUGCACAAGUUUUCUAACACUAAUACCUGCGAUUCACUGAUAUAAAAUUAAUCUUUCAUAUUCACAUAAAUAGGUGAGUAUGCAUAUACAUGUGAUAACCAAGGGAGGAAGAUGGGCAUUCAGCAAAAUUGAAAUUAUUAUUUCUGUGUGUAUUUGCUUAUGAAUAAAUGUAUGAUUUGUGAAAUUAU